GUGCAGUGGACGCGAGGCUCCAAUGCACAGUACAGAGGUGACAGAUACCUGGAGAGAGGAUUCAGCUCCCUCCUCCCUCCAGCCUGAAGGUGGCAAUAGAGAGCACCGCUGUGCAGUGAAUUAAGUCAGCCGUUCUGCCUCAGUCUCUCUCACAUGACCGGAGGGAGGAAGAAAAUGUUUCAUACACAGUGUGUCUAUAUUCCCAAGGCUAUUUCCCAGCAUCACCUACAGUGCCAGUGGGGGUGUUACCAUCACGUUGGAGGUUCCAUGUCGGGGUCCGGUUCCUUCGGGGCUUUUCGUCCCCUCAGCUUCCGGGUGGGAUGCAGGCUAAUUUCCGCCGUUUUAGCGUCACCAGCACCUUGUUGCUUUAAUGUAUUAUAUGCAUCGCUCCUGAUGAGGCGAUAUAGUCGCCAAAACGCGUCGAGCCAACGCCAUCCUAGAUGCUAUACGUUAUCAUAUAUGAUGAGAUCUAGCUAAAAUGUUUUGUAUUUGAUAUUGAUAUAUUUGAUAUAUUUUAUAUUAUGUCUUUAUAUGGAGCCUGCUAGCCAAGAUAUUUUGUAUAACUUGUGUUCAUUUAUUA